rnacentral:rRNA from 1 species
AACGAACGCUGGCGGCGUGCUUAACACAUGCAAGUCGAACGCUUUAUAUAGCAAUAUAUAGGGAGUGGCAGACGGGUGAGUAACACAUGGGAUAACGUACCCUUUUGUCUGGAAUAACAACGGGAAACUGUUGCUAAUACCGGAUACCUCCAGGGUUAAUUCUGGAGAAAGAUUUAUCGCAAAAGGAGCGGCCCAUGCCCGAUUAUGGUGGUUGGUGAAGUAAUGGUUUACCAAGCCUUUGAUCGGUAGCUGGUUUGAGAAGAUGAACAGCCACACUGGGACUGAGACACGGCCCAGACUCCUACGGGAGGCAGCAGUGGGGAAUAUUGGACAAUGGGGGAAACCCUGAUCCAGCAAUGCCGCGUGAGUGAAGAAGGCCU